CAAUAGCGUAUAUUAAAGUUGUUGCGGUUAAAAAGCUCGUAGUUGGAUUUCUGCCGAGGACGACCGGUCCGCCCUCCGGGUGAGUAUCUGGCUCGGCCUGGGCAUCUUCUUGGAGAACGUAACUGCACUUGGCUGUGUGGUGCGGUAUUCAGGACUUUUACUUUGAGGAAAUUAGAGUGUUUCAAGCAGGCACACGCCUUGAAUACAUUAGCAUGGAAUAAUAAGAUAGGACCUCGGUUCUAGUUUGUUGGUUUCUAGAUCUGAGGUAAUGAUUAAUAGGGAUAGUUGGGGGCAUUCAUAUUUAACUGCCAGAGGUGAAAUUCUUGGAUUUGUUAAAGACGGACUACUGCGAAAGCAUUUGCCAAGGAUGUUUUCAUUGA
rnacentral:rRNA from 1 species